rnacentral:rRNA from 1 species
GGUGAAAAGCACCCCGGAAGGGGAGUGAAAUAGAACCUGAAACCGUGUGCUUACAAGUAGUCAGAGCCCGUUAAUGGGUGAUGGCGUGCCUUUUGUAGAAUGAACCGGCGAGUUACGAUUUGAUGCAAGGUUAAGCAGUAAAUGUGGAGCCGUAGCGAAAGCGAGUCUGAAUAGGGCGUUUAGUAUUUGGUCGUAGACCCGAAACCAGGUGAUCUACCCUUGGUCAGGUUGAAGUUCAGGUAACACUGAAUGGAGGACCGAACCGACUUACGUUGAAAAGUGAGCGGAUGAACUGAGGGUAGCGGAGAAAUUCCAAUCGAACCUGGAGAUAGCUGGUUCUCUCCGAAAUAGCUUUAGGGCUAGCCUCAAGUGAUGAUUAUUGGAGGUAGAGCACUGUUUGGACGAGGGGCCCCUCUCGGGUUACCGAAUUCAGACAAACUCCGAAUGCCAAUUAAUUUAACUUGGGAGUCAGAACAUGGGUGAUAAGGUCCGUGUUCGAAAGGGAAACAGCCCAGACCACCAGCUAAGGUCCCAAAAUAUAUGUUAAGUGGAAAAGGAUGUGGCGUUGCCCAGACAACUAGGAUGUUGGCUUAGAAGCAGCCAUCAUUUAAAGAGUGCGUAAUAGCUCACUAGUCGAGUGACACUGCGCCGAAAAUGUACCGGGGCUAAACAUAUUACCGAAGCUGUGGAUUGUCCUUUGGACAAUGGUAGGAGAGCGUUCUAAGGGCGUUGAAGCAUGAUCGUAAGGACAUGUGGAGCGCUUAGAAGUGAGAAUGCCGGUGUGAGUAGCGAAAGACGGGUGAGAAUCCCGUCCACCGAUUGACUAAGGUUUCCAGAGGAAGGCUCGUCCGCUCUGGGUUAGUCGGGUCCUAAGCUGAGGCCGACAGGCGUAGGCGAUGGAUAACAGGUUGA